UCAAGGAUAAACUUGAAAACGAGAUCACAAAGAAGGACUCUCUGCAUCGACAGCACUGUUUCCAAAGGAACAGGGAGUGGCCGGGAAUGUGUAGGCAGCUGGCCAUUUUGGUCAUCCGGCAUUGAACAGGAAAACCGCAUCCAGCUUCUUGGAAACA